GAGGUUAAGCGACUAAGCGUACACGGUGGAUGCCCUGGCAGUCAGAGGCGAUGAAGGACGUGCUAAUCUGCGAUAAGCGCCGGUAAGGUGAUAUGAACCGUUAUAACCGGCGAUUUCCGAAUGGGGAAACCCAGUGUGACUCGUCACACUAUCAUUAACUGAAUCCAUAGGUUAAUGAGGCGAACCGGGGGAACUGAAACAUCUAAGUACCCCGAGGAAAAGAAAUCAACCGAGAUUCCCCCAGUAGCGGCGAGCGAACGGGGAGGAGCCCAGAGCCUGAAUCAGCAUGUGUGUUAGUGGAAGCGUCUGGAAAGGCGCGCGAUACAGGGUGACAGCCCCGUAC
rnacentral:rRNA from 1 species